GCCACACUGCACCCAGCCAGCUCUCAGCUCUGGAGUCCAGUACAGGAACCUCUGCCUUGAAUGGCUUGUGCCCUUAGAUGGGGGUGGUGAUCCAAACAUGCCAGUGAGGCCUACUUGUCAUUGCUCUUGACAUUGAAGAACUCUCCCAGAUGAGCACAACACCUGGAAUGGAAGGCAUGGGAAGAAGAACCUAUCGGUCCCCAGGUCAGGCCCCGACUGUCUCUCAUCUGUAAGCCUGCAAAUCAUGGGGCUUUGCCACAUUAUUAGAAAGAAUAAGAAAUAAUAUGCAAAUUACAUCAUAUUAAAAGAAGAAACACUAACAAAUGGGCACAGCAGGAAACCAUCAUUUGCACAGGUUCUAUUCUGGGCUGUUCAGAGCUGCGAGCAGAGAAGGGAAGUUGGAAAUGCCAAAAUGUAAUUGCAAUAAAGAGCAGGAAAUGUAAGCAACCAAUUUUGGAAGGCUUUUUCAAGUUUUAAACCAAUGCCAAAUAAUUGAGAUCUAUUAAAAGAGGGCUUAAUUCUGUUAUAAUCCUCAUAUACACACAAUUAUUGAAUUAUGUCGAAUACCUGUUGAGAUUGGGUGAUAAAUUAGCUGA